rnacentral:misc_RNA from 1 species
UCCCUCUCUCUCUCUCUCUCUUUUCCCUAAGUUAUAUCAAAAGAAUAGGAUAUGGGUACUGAGAUUUUGAGGCCUCAGGAUUGUUUGAUUGAACGGACCAGAGUUUCUUCUUGUCGCCGGAGAAAUUUUUAUGGCAACUCUUAUACUAACCCCAAGUACUAUGACUCUAACCCUAGACUUAACAGGAAACCAGCUGUGCGGUCUGAGAGGACUGACCCGAGAAAGCGCCACUCAGAGCCUGCCUUGAUAUCGAAGAGGUCGAAUUCGGUUGAUGAUUUGAAGAUCUCCAAAAACCAUUACCAUGGCCACAAAGCCAACAACAGCAACGAUCUUCUUAUGGAGAAGGUGACCAUUUUGCGACGAGGGGAGUCGCUAGACUCUAAGAUCCGGAGCAGUGAAACGGCCGCAGCAUCGAAGAAGUAUCAAGCCGGUGAUAUGGUUGUCACUGGUACGGAUCGAUUGGGUCCGGACCCAGAAAUGGUACCGAAGCAGAUCCGAAUCGUUGACCUGAGGUCUCCGGUGGCCGGGAAGUGCGAUGUGUAUGCGGGCUCAGCUUUUGCAGUAUCGCCAGCACCGAGCUCGCUCCCGUUGCCGUCUUUCUAUAAGAAAAAGCAAGUCACUUUUGAUGACUCAGCUACCAGAGACCUCAGGCGUUUACUUCGACUCGACGUUUAAGAUCCGACUAUAAAAUGGGUCAGGAUCCAUCUGGAUAAGUUAUCACUAUUUAUACCUCUCGUCGGUUUCGUCUCUGUUACAUCCGUCUGGUUUUCAACAGUCGGAUCCUCCCGUGAGAUUUUUUAUAAAACGGGAGGUAGAUCUGAAAAUCGGGAAAAGUAUAGGGACGAAUUAGUAAAAAAGCAAAAAAAGUAUGUUAUCCAUGUAAGUGUAAAACAUGGGGGUUAAUUCUGGGUGGGGUUGUUGUGUAUUUGGGGUUUAUGGGUAUAUUUUAGAUAGUAUCUGUGGCUGAACGGAGGAGGAAAAUGGUUGAGGUUGAGUGGAGUUAGUUGUAGCGUAUGGAGCUGUAAAAUGUAAACGAUGAAGGAAAAGGGGGAUGUAGGGAAUGUGUUUUGUGUAUUAUAGGAAGUAAUUUAAAAGUUAGGGAAAAUUAGGGGAGAUUUCAUAAUAUGUCUCUCUUGUAGUUUUCUCAGUUAUAUGUAACUCUGCUCUUUCUUACUUUGAUUGUAAUUUAUCCUUAAUCAUAAUAAAAUUUUAAAAUAACAACAGUAUGAUCAGUCAAG